AAAUGAAUAGACGGGGGCCCGCACAAGCGGUGGAGCAUGUGGUUUAAUUCGAUGCAACGCGAAGAACCUUACCAUCCCUUGACAUCCAGUGAAUCAUCUAGAGAUAGAAGAGUGCCUUCGGGAACACUGAGACAGGUGCUGCAUGGCUGUCGUCAGCUCGUGUUGUGAGAUGUUGGGUUAAGUCCCGCAACGAGCGCAACCCUUAUCCUCAGUUGCCAGCACGUAAUGGUGGGAACUCUGUGGAGACUGCCGGUGAUAAACCGGAGGAAGGUGGGGACGACGUCAAGUCAUCAUGGCCCUUACGGGAUGGGCUACACACGUGCUACAAUGGCGCGUACAAUGGGAAGCAAGCUAGCGAUAGUAAGCGGAUCUCAAAAAGCGCGUCGUAGUCCGGAUCGGAGUCUGCAACUCGACUCCGUGAAGUCGGAAUCGCUAGUAAUCGUGGAUCAGAAUGCCACGGUGAAUACGUUCCCGGGCCUUGUACACACCGCCCGU
rnacentral:rRNA from 1 species